UGCAUCCCCCCUCGGAGAUGCUGCGGAUCAGGACCUUGUUGUUGUUUGCCUACACAGAGAACCAUUUGAGGGGAAGUGGGAACAGAAGACAAAGCAGAUGAGAAUGUUCGAAGCGUGUGCAAUUGAAAUCGCAUUGACGGAUGCUGAAUUCGAACCAUCACCUGGCAUCCCUCAAUACCAGUUUUUGAAUAAACAUCGGGAGUAUUUGGAGAUUGCACACAGGAGCGACACAAAACUGGCCGAACUUUUUGAAAAGGGAAUCGCAGGCUUCCGCUGGCUUUGUUUCGAUAAGGAGUGCAAGGGUGAAGACUGCGACGCA